GUACUUGCUUCAGCAGCACAUAUACUAAAAAAAAUUGGAAUGAUACAGAGAAGCUUAGCACGGCCUCUGCACAAGGAUGCCACACAAAUUCAUCAAGCAUUCCAUAUUUUG
rnacentral:snRNA from 1 species